rnacentral:rRNA from 1 species
AUUGAACGCUGGCGGCAGGCCUAACACAUGCAAGUCGAGCGAGCGGCGGACGGGUGUGUAAUGUCUGGGAAAAUGCCUGAGGGGGGGGGAUAACUCCUGGAGACGGUAGCUAAUACCGCAUACCACCAGAUGUGUCCAGAUGGGGUUAGCUGGUAGGGGGGGUAACGGCUCACCUAGGCGACGAUCCCUAGCUGGUCUGAGAGGAUGACCAGCCACACUGGAACUGAGACACGGUCCAGACUCCCACGGGAGGCAGCAGUGGGGAAUAUUGCACAAUGGGCGCAAGCCUGAUGCAGCCAUGCCGCGUGUAUGAAGAAGGCCUUCGGGUUGUAAAGUACUUUCAGCGGGGAGGCGUUACCCGCAGAAGAAGCACCGGCUAACUCCGUGCCAGCCGCCGCGGUAAUUC